CCUACGGGAGGCAGCAGUGGGGAAUAUUGCGCAAUGGGCGAAAGCCUGACGCCGCGACGCCGCGUGAGGGAUGAAGGUCUUCGGAUCGUAAACCUCUGUCAGCAGGGAAGAACGGUCACUGUGCUAAUCAGCAGUGAAUUGACGGUACCUUCAAAGAAAGCACCGGCUAACUCCGUGCCAGCAGCCGCGGUAAUACGUCGGGGGCGAUCGUUAAUCGGAAUUACUGGGAGUAAAGCGGUCGUAGGCGGUAUGUCAAGUCAAGGGUGAAAUGCCCGUGCUCAACGUGGGAACUGCCUUUGAAACUGGCAAACUGGAGUGUGUGAGAGGAUAGGGGAAUUCCAGGUGUAGGAGUGAAAGGCGUAGAUAUCUGGAGGAACAUCAGUGGCGAAGGCGACUAUCUGGCACAUAACUGACGCUGAGGAGCGAAAGCGUGGGUAGCAAACAGGAUUAGAUACCCUUGUAGUC
rnacentral:rRNA from 1 species